rnacentral:lncRNA from 1 species
AUGAGGGUCACUGAGCGGGCGGUGGAGAUCGGAUACGUGCGACCCCAGGUGUCGUGGGCUCCUGCCGCGAGGUGGUCCCGUGCGCGCAGUCCCAUGGUCCCGGUGCACCUGCGCAGGCUCCACCUGCCUCGACCUUUGGUGGGAGCACCUCCCAGCCCACAAGGCUCCCGCGCCACAUCCUGCCCGAAGGUGGGAGCCAGGGGCCACUCUAGCCGGACUGGUGAAGCUCCUCCUCCAAGUGCUCAUGGAACAGUCGGGAAACUGAGGCCAGGAGAGGCAGGGACUGGCCGGGAACCCACCAGACGAAAUCAACCGAUGAAAUCGGGAAACGAUUGGCGGAAUCUGGAUUCACCCGCCCUACAGAGUUGUGCGUGUGCCCCGUCGCCCAGGAGGGCCACCCUGGACCCAGGGAGAGAGUGGCUGCAGGGAGGUCUUGGGAAGCAGGGCCUGGAGUUGGCCUGGGAAGGCCUCCUUCACCGCCCUGGCCCCUCCACAGGGUCCUGGUUCACGGGUCCUGGGAUCAGGACCCGGAGCCCCCGGAGCCAGAGCCCGAGGAGUCCGGGGCAGGAGCAGAAGCCGGUGCGGCUCCAGAGCCCGACCCAAGGGCAUCGGGGUCCUCGGCGUCUCUGCAGGCAGGGGUGGAGUCUGGAGCGACUCCUGCAGGGGCCCGGGCGGUGCUGGGCCACCCAGGGAGGAGCCCCCGGAGCCAGAGCCCGAGGGUGAGAAGGCUGGGGUGGGAGAUGUGUGUUCACGGGGCCCGGGCGGUGCUGGGCCACCCAGGGAGGAGCCCCCGGGGGCUGGUGUGGGGCCAGGAGCAGAGACUGAGAGCCCGGGCGGUGCUGGGCCACCCAGGGAGGAGCCCCCGGGGGCUGGUGUGGGGCCAGGAGCAGAAGCCGGUGCGGCUCCAGAGCCCGACCCAAGGGCAUCGGGGUCCUCGGCGUCUCUGCAGGCAGGGGUGGAGUCUGGAGCGACUCCUGCAGGGGCCCGGGUGGUGCCGGGCCACCCUGGGAGGAGCCCCCGGGGGCUGGUGUGGGGCCAGGAGCAGAAGCCGGUGCGGCUCCAGAGCCCGACCCAAGGGCAUCGGGGUCCUCGGCGUCUCUGCAGGCAGGGGUGGAGUCUGGAGCGACUCCUGCAGGGGCCUGGGAGCCAGCAGGUGACCUGGGACCUGUGCAGGGACAGCGGGCACCUGAGCAGAGUCAGCUGGGUCCUGCUUCUGCUCCCAACACUGCUCCUGCCAUCGCCCUUCUCCCCGCCCCUGCCACUGCCCUUGAUCCCACAUGGAUGUCGGCCAAAAAUCAAGGGCUUGAAGACCUAUACAGGGUGCUUUUUUUAUCUUAUUUUAUUUUUUGUUUAUUAUAUUUUAUUUCAAAUUCAUUCUCCAAUCCCUGACCCCGACCCCCCACCAAAAUGUCUCUUCCUCUUCUCCCUUAUCCUUUUUCUCUUCUAUUUUUUAGCUGUUACUUUAUUUGUUCAUUGUUUCUUUAUAAUCCACAUUAAUCUUCAAUAAAAUGUUUUAUUUAUUUUACGUUGUGCA